rnacentral:rRNA from 1 species
ACGUAGGGGACGAGCGUUAUCCGGAUUUACUGGGCGUAAAGCGCAUGUAGGUGGCCUUUCAAGUUGGACGUGAAAGCUCCCGGCUUAACUGGGAGAGGUCGUUCAAAACUGGGGGGCUUGAGGUUGGAAGAGGAGAGCGGAAUUCCCGGUGUAGUGGUGGAAUGCGUAGAUAUCGGGAGGAACACCAGAGGCGCAAGCGGGUGCCUGGGCGACGACUGACACUGAGGGACGAAAGCGUGGGGAGCGAACAG